UACAGAGGGUGCAAGCGUUGUUCGGAAUUAUUGGGCGUAAAGCGCGUGUAGGCGGCUUGGCAAGUCGGGUGUGAAAGCCCUCAGCUCAACUGAGGAAGUGCGCCCGAAACUGCUAAGCUUGAGUGCCAGAGAGGGUGGCGGAAUUCCCGAAGUAGAGGUGAAAUUCGUAGAUAUCUGGAGGAACACCGGUGGCGAAGGCGGCAUCCUGGACCAACACUGACGCUGAGGAGCGAAAGCCAGGGGAGCAAACGGG
rnacentral:rRNA from 1 species